rnacentral:lncRNA from 1 species
CAGUCUAGGACUGGGUCAUUUCCGAAUCAGAUUUUGGGUAAAUAACUGACAACUGGCUUAUUUUCAUCCACGACGAAAAUGGAAGAAACUCCUUUUCUUUUCCUCUUAAUUUAGAAAUGCCGGGGAAAGAAUUUGUUCUUGAAAGAACAAGAGGAAGAGUAUAAAAGACCCUUUGUCUGGGUUAAAUAGAAGACUGACGGUGUGAUGGAGUGUGUACUGCAGUUCGGCUCACCAGCUUUGUUCUGUCUUCCCAGCAGCUGGAUGAGAUUUUGAUUUCAGAGGAAAAAGAGCGACCUAGGGCUGACCAUAUUGGACAGAGGGAGAAAGGAAAUUUACAACAGCCUCCCGUGUGUGGUGAGAG